rnacentral:rRNA from 1 species
UACAGAGGUCUCAAGCGUUGUUCGGAUUCAUUGGGCGUAAAGGGUGCGUAGGCGGCGCGGUAAGUCGGGUGUGAAAUCUCGGGGCUUAACUCCGAAACUGCAUUCGAUACUGCCGUGCUUGAGGACUGGAGAGGAGACUGGAAUUUACGGUGUAGCGGUGAAAUGCGUAGAUAUCGAUAAGGAACACCAGUGGCGAAGGCGGCUCACUGGCCCGAUACUGACGCUGAGGCACGAAAGCGUGGGGAGCAAACAGG